CAAUAGCGUAUAUUAAUGUUGUUGCAGUUAAAAAGCUCGUAGUUGGAUUCCUGACCUGGGGUAGCCGGUCCGCCUUGCAAAAGGUGCGCACUGAGCGGCCUCGGUCAUCCUUGAGAAGAGCGGUCCUGGCAUUCAGUUGUCGGGGUCGGGAUUCUCGACGUUUACUGUGAAAAAAUCAGAGUGUUCAACGCAGGCUUACGCCUUGAAUACAUUAGCAUGGAAUAAUGAGAUAGGACCUUGGCGGUCUAUUUUGUUGGUUUGCACGCCGAGGUAAUGAUUAAAAGGGACGGUUGGGGUUCUUCGUAUUCAAUUGUCAGAGGUGAAAUUCUUGGAUUUAUGGAAGACGAACUGCUGCGAAAGCGUCGAACAAGGACGUUCNCAUUA
rnacentral:rRNA from 1 species